rnacentral:rRNA from 1 species
UGAAGCUAACAGAACGGUUUUGGGAAAGCCGGCCGGAGAGGGUGAAAGCCCCGUACGUGAAAGCUGAUGAGACUGAGCAGGAUCCAGAGUACCACGAGACACGUGGAACCUUGUGGGAAAUCAGGGGGACCACCCCCUAAGGCUAAAUACUACUUAGUGACCGAUAGCGCAUAGUACUGUGAAGGAAAGGUGAAAAGGACCCCGGGAGGGGAGUGAAAGAGAACCUGAAACCCUGUGUCUACAAGCUGUGGAAGCACUUUAUAUGUGCGACCGCGUACUUUUUGUAGAACGGUCCGGCGAGUUACGCUUACUGGCAAGGUUAAGCACUUCAGGUGUGGAGCCGUAGGGAAACCAAGUCUUAAGAGGGC